AUGAUUCCAGGACCUGGAAUCAUACCAGCCGAUGGCCUACAAAGUCUGUCGCACAACGUUGUAACUUCUUACCCCAUUUCUAAAUUUGUACUAGUCCUCUAUACCGAUUGGUCGGUGCUGCCGGCUGGCGUCAAGUUCGAUCCCACGGAUCAGGAGCUGAUCGAGCACCUUGAGGCCAAAGUGAGUGCUGACGGCGCGAGAUCUCACCCUCUCAUUCAUUUGUUCAUACCAACCAUCGACAGCGAGCACGGCAUAUGCUACACCCAUCCGGAGAAACUUCCAGGUAUCACACUGAGUGGCCUAAGCAAGCAUUUCUUCCAACGCAAUUCCAGGGCAUCCAAAACGGGCACGUGGACGCGUAGCAAGAUACAGUCGGAGUGCGGCAUGCACGCGAUGUGGCACAAGACCAGCAAUACCUUGCUGGUGAUGUUCAAUGGCCGGCAGACGGGCAACAAAAAGGUUCUGGUGCUGCACACCAACAAGAACUUCGAUCAUUCCCGCAAAAAAAACUUCGACCCGCAGAGGACCAACUGGGUGAUGCACCAGUACCACCUCGGGGACCUGGAGCAAGAGAAGGAGUGGGAGCUAGUCCUCUGCAAGAUUUUUUACUACACGAACACUAGGGCCAGGACUAAAAAGAUUAUAAGUUAG
rnacentral:rRNA from 1 species